GACGAACGCUGGCGGCGUGCCUAAUACAUGCAAGUCGAACGAGAGCAACCGGUGCUUGCACUGGUCAAUCUAGUGGCGAACGGGUGAGUAACACGUGGGUAACCUGCCCAUCAGAGGGGGAUAACAUCCGGAAACGGAUGCUAAAACCGCAUAGGUCUUCGAACCGCAUGGUUUGAAGAGGAAAAGAGGCGCAAGCUUCUGCUGAUGGAUGGACCCGCGGUGCAUUAGCUAGUUGGUGAGGUAACGGCUCACCAAGGCCGUGAUGCAUAGCCGACCUGAGAGGGUGAUCGGCCACAUUGGGACUGAGACACGGCCCAAACUCCUACGGGAGGCAGCAGUAGGGAAUCUUCCGCAAUGGACGCAAGUCUGACGGAGCAACGCCGCGUGAGUGAAGAAGGUUUUCGGAUCGUAAAACUCUGUUGUUAGAGAAGAACAAGUGCUAGAGUAACUGUUAGCGCCUUGACGGUAUCUAACCAGAAAGCCACGGUUAACUACGUG
rnacentral:rRNA from 1 species